UCGAGCAGUUAUGGGUAUGCUGAAAAUUGGUAGCCAGGUUCCCUUUAGAUUGGAAUAGUAAACUUAGACUUUGCAAGUUCAAGUCUUGUUACCCAUAUUAUAUGUUGUCGACUAAUCGGUAAGUCAUAAAUUUUUGGUAUUUACUAUUGGGUGUUCGAGUCGCCCCAACAUAA
rnacentral:tRNA from 1 species